GACGAACGCUGGCGGCGUGCUUAACACAUGCAAGUCGAACGGAAAGGCCCUUCGGGGUACUCGAGUGGCGAACGGGUGAGUAACACGUGGGUGAUCUGCCCUGCACUUUGGGAUAAGCCUGGGAAACUGGGUCUAAUACCGAAUAUGAUCAUGGCCUUCAUGGGUUGUGGUGGAAAGCUUUUGCGGUGUGGGAUGGGCCCGCGGCCUAUCAGCUUGUUGGUGGGGUAAUGGCCUACCAAGGCGACGACGGGUAGCCGGCCUGAGAGGGUGUCCGGCCACACUGGGACUGAGAUACGGCCCAGACUCCUACGGGAGGCAGCAGUGGGGAAUAUUGCACAAUGGGCGCAAGCCUGAUGCAGCGACGCCGCGUGAGGGAUGACGGCCUUCGGGUUGUAAACCUCUUUCAGCAGGGACGAAGCGCAAGUGACGGUACCUGUAGAAGAAGGACCGGCCAACUACGUGCCAGCAGCCGCGGUAAUACGUAGGGUCCGAGCGUUGUCCGGAAUUACUGGGCGUAAAGAGCUCGUAGGUGGUUUGUCGCGUUGUUCGUGAAAACUCACAGCUUAACUGUGGGCGUGCGGGCGAUACGGGCAGACUUGAGUACUGCAGGGGAGACUGAAAUUCCUGGUGUAGCGGUGGAAUGCGCAGAUAUCAGGAGGAACACCGGUGGCGAAGGCGGGUCUCUGGGCAGUAACUGACGCUGAGGAGCGAAAGCGUGGGGAGCGAACAGGAUUAGAUACCCUGGUAGUCCACGCCGUAAACGGUGGGUACUAGGUGUGGGUUUCCUUCCUUGGGAUCCGUGCCGUAGCUAACGCAUUAAGUACCCCGCCUGGGGAGUACGGCCGCAAGGCUAAAACUCAAAGAAAUUGACGGGGGCCCGCACAAGCGGCGGAGCAUGUGGAUUAAUUCGAUGCAACGCGAAGAACCUUACCUGGGUUUGACAUGCACAGGACGUGCCUAGAGAUAGGUAUUCCCUUGUGGCCUGUGUGCAGGUGGUGCAUGGCUGUCGUCAGCUCGUGUCGUGAGAUGUUGGGUUAAGUCCCGCAACGAGCGCAACCCUUAUCUUAUGUUGCCAGCGCGUAAUGGCGGGGACUCGUGAGAGACUGCCGGGGUCAACUCGGAGGAAGGUGGGGAUGACGUCAAGUCAUCAUGCCCCUUAUGUCCAGGGCUUCACACAUGCUACAAUGGCCGGUACAAAGGGCUGCGAUGCCGUGAGGUGGAGCGAAUCCUUUCAAAGCCGGUCUCAGUUCGGAUCGGGGUCUGCAACUCGACCCCGUGAAGUCGGAGUCGCUAGUAAUCGCAGAUCAGCAACGCUGCGGUGAAUACGUUCCCGGGCCU
rnacentral:rRNA from 1 species